GAUGAACGCUGGCGGCGUGCCUAAUACAUGCAAGUCGAGCGAACGGACGAGAAGCUUGCUUCUCUGAUGUUAGCGGCGGACGGGUGAGUAACACGUGGAUAACCUACCUAUAAGACUGGGAUAACUUCGGGAAACCGGAGCUAAUACCGGAUAAUAUUUUGAACCGCAUGGUUCAAAAGUGAAAGACGGUCUUGCUGUCACUUAUAGAUGGAUCCGCGCUGCAUUAGCUAGUUGGUAAGGUAACGGCUUACCAAGGCAACGAUGCAUAGCCGACCUGAGAGGGUGAUCGCCCACACUGGAACUGAGACACGGUCCAGACUCCUACGGGAGGCAGCAGUAGGGAAUCUUCCGCAAUGGGCGAAAGCCUGACGGAGCAACGCCGCGUGAGUGAUGAAGGUCUUCGGAUCGUAAAACUCUGUUAUUAGGGAAGAACAUAUGUGUAAGUAACUGUGCACAUCUUGACGGUACCUAAUCAAAAAGCCACGGCUAACUACGUG
rnacentral:rRNA from 1 species